rnacentral:rRNA from 1 species
CCUACGGGUGGCUGCAGUGGGGAAUAUUGGACAAUGGGCGAAAGCCUGAUCCAGCCAUGCCGCGUGUGUGAAGAAGGCCUUCGGGUUGUAAAGCACUUUCAGUGGGGAAGAAAGCCUUGGGGCUAAUACCCUCGAGGAAGGACAUCACCCACAGAAGAAGCACCGGCUAACUCCGUGCCAGCAGCCGCGGUAAUACGGAGGGUGCGAGCGUUAAUCGGAAUUACUGGGCGUAAAGCGCGCGUAGGCGGUCUGAUAAGCCGGUUGUGAAAGCCCCGGGCUCAACCUGGGAACGGCAUCCGGAACUGUCAGGCUAGAGUGCAGGAGAGGAAGGUAGAAUUCCCGGUGUAGCGGUGAAAUGCGUAGAGAUCGGGAGGAAUACCAGUGGCGAAGGCGGCCUUCUGGACUGACACUGACGCUGAGGUGCGAAAGCGUGGGUAGCAAACAGGAUUAGAUCCCCGGUAAUC